ACGUCGGGUCCAGCGUCUCUGCGUCGGCGCAACUUCCACGAUAACCGCUCCUGCCCGAUCUCCCCACCCUAAGAACGCCUACGCCGUCGAAUUUCGAGGCUCGCUCCUGACACUGAGGCCAGCCGAGUCCUGCGCGAUCGCCGACUACCUGACACGCAGGAUCCACAUCACCCACAAGGGCAAAACGAAAAAAAAGAUGAGAUACGAAGAAGAAUGCUGAAAAGUCGAGGAGCUGCAAGCCUUCAGUCGGCUUCGAUAAAUAAACUCUUUCUCUUUCAACCUGGAAUCAGCCGAAAUCGAGUUCCCGAAAUUCAUCCUUACGUACAUAUGUAAAAAUGAUAAACCCGGGGACCAAAACUCUACGAUUCUGCAUUUCUUGCCCCUCUAUUCUUAGACUACUAAACUCCCACGCGGUUAUUUAAUAUCCCAGACACGUACUAUUUACCGAUGCUUUACACAAUUUGACAAUUCUAUCGUAUAACAGGUUCGCAAGACAAUGCAUACUUAAAAUUGUUUUCGAAUAUAAUUUAGUCCGAUAUAUUUUUAUCGACUUUCCGCGUUACUUCCGCGUUAUUAAAACUUAUCUUUCCUCGACUGAAUUUAAUUUCUUGUAAAUAGCCCUUAAUCUUAAUAUCGUACUAGUUAAUUGUUUCAUUUCGAUUUCCUACUAUUUAGCGUCGAAAUUAAGGUGUAUCGGUAGGCAACGAUAAUAAAAAUAAUUAUAACCAUAUUAAUCGAGGUUACAUCGUAUAAUAUUUGUUGCCCCGAGCUUUCUUAU